rnacentral:lncRNA from 1 species
GUGCACCGUGACCUAAAACCAGCCAACAUCCUGCUGGACCGCAACUACGUAAGCAAGAUUAGUGACGUUGGGUUGGCCAGGCUGGUUCCCCCAUCUGUAGCUGACAAUGUGACCCAGUAUCGGAUGACAUCAACAGCUGGGACUUUCUGCUAUAUAGAUCCAGAGUAUCAGCAAACAGGCAUGCUGGGCAUAAAAUCUGAUGUCUACUCCCUUGGCAUCAUGCUUCUACAGAUAAUAACAGCCAAGCCACCAAUGGGGUUGACUCACCUUGUUGAAAGAGCUAUUGAAAAAGAUACAUUUGAAGAGAUGCUGGAUCCAGUUGUGCCUGAUUGGCCACUUGAAGAGGCAUUGAGCUUCGCCAAGAUAGCCCUCCAGUGUGCAGAACUAAGGCGGAAAGACAGACCUGAUCUUGGCAAGGCUGUGUUACCAGAACUCAACAGAUUGAGAGAGCUUUCAGAGGAACAUUUGGACCCAACUAUGAUGGGUGGCAGUCAGUACCACUCUACCAACCACAGCCAAGUUUC